GUUUGCACUUGUCGGGGAAGGGUGAGAACCUUCGAUUAAGGUUCGACUUGAGCGAAAGCGAGAGAACGUUGCCAACGGCAACGGCC
rnacentral:sRNA from 1 species